GACGAACGCUGGCGGCGUGCUUAACACAUGCAAGUCGAACGGAAAGGCCCUGCUUGCAGGGUACUCGAGUGGCGAACGGGUGAGUAACACGUGGGUGAUCUGCCCUGCACUUCGGGAUAAGCCUGGGAAACUGGGUCUAAUACCGGAUAGGAGCCAUUUUUAGUGUGAUGGUUGGAAAGUUUUUUCGGUGUAGGAUGAGCUCGCGGCCUAUCAGCUUGUUGGUGGGGUAAUGGCCUACCAAGGCGGCGACGGGUAGCCGGCCUGAGAGGGUGGACGGCCACAUUGGGACUGAGAGACGGCACAGACGCCUACGGGAGGCAGCAGUGGGGAAUAUUGCACAAUGGGCGCAAGCCUGAUGCAGCGACGCCGCGUGGGGGAUGACGGCCUUCGGGUUGUAAACUCCGUUCGCUAGGGACGAAGCUUUUUGUGACGGUACCUAGAUAAGAAGCACCGGCUAACUACGUG
rnacentral:rRNA from 1 species